rnacentral:tRNA from 1 species
GCCUGGGUGGCUCAGUAGGUUGAGUGUUGGACUUCAGCUCCGGUCAUGAUCUCACAGGUCUUGGGUUCGAGCCCCUCCUCGGGCU